AGAGUUUGAUCCUGGCUCAGGACGAACGCUGGCGGCGUGCCUAACACAUGCAAGUCGAGCGGGGACAUUGCGACGGAGACGAAGUACUCGUACGGAGUCAAAGAUGUAAUGUUCUAGCGGCGGACGGGUGAGUAACGCGUGAGCAACCUGUCCCUUACAGGGGGAUAACACAGCGAAAGUUGUACUAAUACCGCAUGAGACCACAGGAUGACAUCAUCCAGGGGUCAAAGGAGCAAUCCGGUAAGGGGUGGGCUCGCGUCCGAUUAGAUAGUUGGUGAGGUAACGGCCCACCAAGUCGACGAUCGGUAGCCGACCUGAGAGGGUGAUCGGCCACAUUGGGACUGAGACACGGCCCAAACUCCUACGGGAGGCAGCAGUGGGGGAUAUUGCACAAUGGGGGGAACCCUGAUGCAGCGACGCCGCGUGAAGGAAGAAGUGCUUCGGCAUGUAAACUUCUAUCAGCAGGGAAGAAGAUGACGGUACCUGCACAAGAAGCCCCGGCUAACUACGUGCCAGCAGCCGCGGUAAUACGUAGGGGGCAAGCGUUAUCCGGAUUUACUGGGUGUAAAGGGAGCGUAGACGGCGAUGCAAGUCUGAUGUGAAAACCCGGGGCUCAACCGCGGGAUUGCAUUGGAAACUGUGUUGCUUGAGUACUGGAGGGGCAGGCGGAAUUCCUAGUGUAGCGGUGAAAUGCGUAGAUAUUGGGAAGAACAUCGGUGGCGAAGGCGACUUGCUGGCCAGUAACUGACGCUGAGGUGCGAAAGCCAGGGUAGCAAACGGGAUUAGAUACCCCGGUAGUCCUGGCCGUAAACGAUGAAUGCUAGGUGUGCGUGCAGAGAUGCAGGUGUGCCGCAGUUAACGCGAUAAGCAUUCCGCCUGGGGAGUACGGUCGCAAGAUUGAAACUCAAAGGAAUUGACGGGGGCCCGCACAAGCGGUGGAGCGCGUGGUUUAAUUCGAUGCAAACCGAAGAACCUUACCUGGGUUUGACAUGUAAGUGGUAGGAGCUGGAAACAGUGACGAAUCUGCCGCAAGGUAGAUAGCUUACACAGGUGCUGCAUGGCAGUCGUCAGCUCGUGUCGUGAGAUGUUGGGUUAAGUCCCGCAACGAGCGCAACCCCUGCGGCUAGUUGCCAUCAAUACGGUUGGGCACUCUAGCAGGACUGCCAUCGACAAGAUGGAGGAAGGUGGGGACGACGUCAAGUCAUCAUGGCCCUUAUGUCCAGGGCGACACACGUGCUACAAUGGACGGUACAGAGGGAAGCGAGGCAGUGAUGUUGAGCGGAUCCCGAAAAGCCGUUCUCAGUUCGGAUUGAAGUCUGCAAUUCGACUUCAUGAAGCUGGAAUCGCUAGUAAUCGCAGAUCAGCCAAGCUGCGGUGAAUCCGUUCCCGGGCCUUGUACACACCGCCCGUCACACCACCCGAGCCGGGUGUACCCGAAGCCGGUGGCCUAACCGCAAGGAAGGAGCCGUCGAAGGUGUGUCUGGUGAGGGGGGUGAAGUCGUAACAAGGUAACCGUA
rnacentral:rRNA from 1 species